rnacentral:rRNA from 1 species
UACGUAGGCAGCAAGCGUUGUUCGGAAUUACUGGGCGUAAAGAGUGUGUAGGCGGUGUUCCAAGUCUGGUGUGAAAUCUCCCGGCUCAACUGGGAGGGUGCGCCGGAAACUGGAAUGCUCGAGUGUGGGAGAGGUAAGCGGAAUUCCUGGUGUAGCGGUGAAAUGCGUAGAUAUCAGGAGGAACACCUGUGGUGUAGACAGCUUACUGGACCACGACUGACGCUGAGACACGAAAGCGUGGGUAGCAAACAGG